CAGUAUUUUUCUGAUUUAAUAAUAUUUUAAUAACUGACGCUGCAUUUAUUUAAUUUUUUUGCCAGUUUAAAAUGUUUGUGUGUUUUUAUAGAUGAUUUUAACUGGUACAUAUUUUGAGUUAAGAUGAAUGUAUGAAAGCAGCAUCUUAUCAGUUUUGUUUAUUCGAUUUCUAAAAUGUGCUGAUCCUUUUAAAACUCCUGCUUAUCUCUGCAACAAAGAAAAAUAUUCAAAAAUACUGCCUUCAUUUUCACACACAGUGCUGAAGAUGCUGCAAGCACCAAAUCAUAGCUCAUAAAAUCAGGUCCUGAGAUAGUUACCCAUAAAGAGGAAUCCUUUGAGUGUAUGCCAUUGGUGAGCCGAUGAGCAUGGACCAUAGAAGGGCUCAAUGUAGAAGAAACUACCCGUGUGUAAAAAGAAGAUUGGCUUAAAAUGGCUACUGUGAUGGGAACAGUGUCUUAGGGAGAUGCAGCUUGGACUUGAGGUAAAUUGAAUACUUUACAAACUGUGGUUUAGAGUUUGCUUUAAUGACAUUGUAUGUAAAAGGUCACAUGAUUGCUGUAAUUUUGUAUUCAUUAUGGUUUCCUCAAUAAAUGUACAUUGAUGAAUAUUA
rnacentral:sRNA from 1 species